CAGUCGCCGCGGUAAUACGUAGGGUGCGAGCGUUAAUCGGAAUUACUGGGCGUAAAGCGUGCGCAGGCGGUUGUGUAAGACAGGUGUGAAAUCCCCGGGCUUAACCUGGGAACUGCGCUUGUGACUGCACAGCUAGAGUAUGGCAGAGGGGGGUAGAAUUCCACGUGUAGCAGUGAAAUGCGUAGAUAUGUGGAGGAAUACCGAUGGCGAAGGCAGCCCCCUGGGAUAACACUGACGCUCAUGCACGAAAGCGUGGGGAGCGAACAGGAUUAGAUACCCCUGUAGUCCCUGUCUCUUAUAC
rnacentral:rRNA from 1 species